UACGUAGGGGGCGAGCGUUGUCCGGAAUUACUGGGCGUAAAGAGAGCGUAGGCGGCACUACAAGUCUCAUGUGAAAUACCUGGGCUUAACUUGGGGGUUGCAUGGGAAACUGUAGAGCUUGAGUACAGGAGAGGCAAGCGGAAUUCCUAGUGUAGCGGUGAAAUGCAUAGAUAUUAGGAGGAACACCAGUGGCGAAGGCGGCUUGCUGGACUGAAACUGACGCUGAGGCUCGAAAGCGUGGGGAGCAA
rnacentral:rRNA from 1 species